GUGUUGACUGGGUGUUGUACCGCUGUGUCCCAUUAUCAAACCUUGAAGGAGAGCGACGUCAAAGGUUUGAGCAACAC
rfam:Leptolyngbya sp. Heron Island J, whole genome shotgun sequence.